GACGAACGCUGGCGGCGUGCUUAACACAUGCAAGUCGAACGAAGUGGCGAACGGGUGAGUAACGCGUAAUCAACCUGCCCUUCAGAGGGGGACAACAGUUGGAAACGACUUCUAAUACCUCAUACUGAAGGAGGGGACUGCGUCUGCUUAGCCAGUUGGAGGGGUAACGGCCCACCAAGGCGAUGAUCAGUAGCCGGACUGGAAGGAUGAACGGCCACAUUGGGACGGGGACACGGCCCAGACUCCUACGGGAGGCAUCAGUGGGGAAGCUGCCGGAAUGGGCGAAAGUCGGACAGAGCAACGCCGCGUGAGUGGUGACGGCCUUCGGGUUGUAAAGCUCUGUUACUCGGGGCGCGGUACCGGAAUAGAAAGCCACGGCUAACUACGUGCCAGCAGCCGCGGUAAUUC
rnacentral:rRNA from 1 species